GUGAUGGAGGUAAGGGGGGGCUGCAGGGAAGUCAGGCCCCGGCUGCUCAGGCCCAGAGGCGGGGAGGUCACCCAGGAGAAGUGCGGGAUCUGAUCCACCGAAGACUGGAUCAGGCAGCAGACCGGAUGGUGAAUCUGGGUGUCCGGGGCUGUGGAUCUGCUGAGGAGGGUGUUGGAGAUGCGUGUUGGCCCCCAACAAAGGAUUCAUGCUAUGGUAUGGAAAACUGAAGCGCUGCAGAUCUGGCAUGAACACGGACGUUUGAAUUUCUAGCUACGACAGAAUCGAACGGCUCCACUGGACCUAAAUAGAAGCCACGCAGCUGCGGUACCAGGUGAUAUAACCGGCUCGGAUUUAGAACCUGAUCUCUAAAGCUGGAGGUCGGCUCUUAGCUGCUGGGUCAGUCCGAGGAAACAACGACGUCCAGCGGCGAUGGCGGGCCCGGAGCUCCGCUGGGUCUGGAUGAACCAAAAUACAGGCGGCAAAGACGCAGGACGGGGAUGAAGAACGAGGCAGAAGCGUCGAUGGCACCGCGUCCCGAACUUCUGGCAACAUAUGUGACCGCGAGCGCUAGCAAGUGCGCCUACCGUAAAUACACCAGUAGAUGCGCACUCCAUCUUUAACCGUUUGUUUCCCGAGGAUGCAGUCGCUGGUUGACGUCACCAAAUACGAUCAGCUGCUCCUCACAGCGCGUUUGUCGCACAUUUCCUUUUUGAUAAGGAUCAAUGUGAAUUCACACUCAUUCAGACUCCACUGAUAUAGUUUCCACAGAGAAGGUGAAACUCUCGCUGCUCGCCCUCUUCUUGUCCUUCUUGGAGCUCAGGCGGUCAGCAAACGAAGACUCUGCUAUGCUCCUCUUCGUCCUCAAACUGUGGCCGGGAGACGGGUCGGUGCUUCCUUCACAGAGAAGGAAAGCAAAUACUGGACCUGCAGAGCCCGUGCAUGACCGACACCUAAGGAGCCCAGGCCCAGGAGCAGCGGCUGCAGCUGUGAAACAUCCCAACACUCAACCUUCACACCACGCCACCUCCAGGGACAAGAGCAGACUGCAGCGCAUAGUGUGUUCUGCUGAGAAGGUGAUCGGAUGCAACCUGCCACCUCUUCAGGACCUGUAUGCGUCCAGGACCCAGAGACGUGCAGGAGGCUGCGGUCGAUCCAGAGCAGAACCUCCCGUCACAGGAACAGCUUCUUCCCCUCGGCCCUCAUCACAAAUUCGUGAUCUGUCUUUGUUUGUGGGUUAUUUUAUUUUAUUCAGCAUGUAAUCCAAAGCACUUUCCUAGUUGGGGGGAUCCCCACUGAACAAGGCAA